AACUAUGAUAUACUUGAUCCGAAGAUGUACGGACUUGACCGAAUGGCAGAUCCGAAUGCAACUUUAAAGGCGCGAAAUAUGAAAAUGCCCCUGUACAAUGGCUUCUUUCCUGUUCUUGUGCAAUUCUGGUAGCAAUCAAGUGUGCUAUGUAAGCCCCAGCGUAUCCAAGCUGUAUUUUUUAAAUGAACUGAAGAAUAUGAGUUUUUCUGAAUGUUUGGAAAUGAUUUUACCUUUCUUUUAGCAAUAUGCAAAUUCAAAGUAUUUCCUAUUUUUCACUAUUCAGUGCUACCAACAGUACUCAACUUUCAUCGUGCAAUGCAAUUCCAAAACUGCUACCAAAGAAGUUACCAACAAUGACCAGAACCGGAUUGCAAGAAUCAGAUGUUCGCCAUGUCGCCAUUUAGUGUAAAUACGUUUUGUUGCGCGAUUUAUGGACAGAAAACAUCUUGGCAAAAAUAUGUCGACAGACAAUUCUGACAUAGAUGAAAGUAUGGUAGACGAUUUUGUCUACAAGCUACUUUCCUUUAUCGGGUACACUGACAAAAAGGGACUAAAGCUUUUAGAUAUUGUCUUAGCUCCUUGGAUAAGAUAUAACGCAAAAACAAAAAAGUUUGAAACUAAAUUUCCACCGCCUCCGUAUGAUAGCUCCGUUUUAUAUGAUAGCUCCGUUUAUAUGACAGCUUUGUUUUAACGCUCCUAUAGGAGCGUUAAAACGGAGCUCAAUAAACUACUAAGAAGCUUUUCGGAUGAACCUCAAUAUUGGGCAGAGUAUACUAUCGAUUUUCAGGAUCAUGCAAAAACAUUCUCAGAAGCAAAAAAGCGAUUGAAAAAACUGCAAAAGAAAGAAUAUGCUUACAACGAAGAGAAAAUAUUGGGAAAAAAGUUAAAUGUAUCACCAGAGGCAGAAGAAAAAAAUUUUCAAGUUCCGAGCAUAGCAGAAGUGAUGCAAAAUUCGCGAGAAAACUAUGAAGGCAAACCAAGUGGUAAUAAAAAUAAAGAUUCAAGCGAAUCGCAAAUAAGCAGCGCAUCAGAGUCACCACAUGCAAAUACAUGCUCAAAUAAGAGAAGGAAAGGCGGAAUGAUGUCCAAGUAAUAAUGGUUUGAAAAAGUCAAGAUUAAACUACGAAAAAAAUAUAAUUCCUAACACUAAAUGCAGACUACCAUAGAAGAUUUAUUACGGAGAGAAGAAUCUUCUUUUACGCAGCUGAAAUGGCAAAGGAAUAAUUAGCAAACACAAUUUCAAUAAAGAAAUGAAGUACAUUAACGUCGGAGAGGUAUAUAUUGGCAAAAUUGGAAAGGCUAGAGCAAGCUGUUUAGUACGUUGUAAUUGUAAUUUUAGACUUUCUCUAAAAAAUUCGGUUUUAGGACGUCGAGAAACUUCGCUAAAACAUGUUUUAUGAUUCGAUGCAUAAUAUCAGAAAAUUCCGAAUUCUAUGUAACACCACCUAGAGGCUGGAAACCAAAAAUAUUUUUUAAUG